rnacentral:rRNA from 1 species
GACGAACGCUGGCGGCGCGCCUAACACAUGCAAGUCGAACGAGCGAGAGAGAGCUUGCUUUCUCAAGCGAGUGGCGAACGGGUGAGUAACGCGUGAGGAACCUGCCUCAAAGAGGGGGACAACAGUUGGAAACGACUGCUAAUACCGCAUAAGCCCACGACCCGGCAUCGGGUAGAGGGAAAAGGAGCAAUCCGCUUUGAGAUGGCCUCGCGUCCGAUUAGCUAGUUGGUGAGGUAACGGCCCACCAAGGCGACGAUCGGUAGCCGGACUGAGAGGUUGAACGGCCACAUUGGGACUGAGACACGGCCCAGACUCCUACGGGAGGCAGCAGUGGGGAAUAUUGCACAAUGGGGGAAACCCUGAUGCAGCGACGCCGCGUGGAGGAAGAAGGUCUUCGGAUUGAAAACUCCUGUUGUUGAGGAAGAUAAUGACGGUACUCAACAAGGAAGUGACGGCUAACUACGUG